UCAGAUUGAACGCUGGCGGCGUGCUUAACACGAUGCAAGUCGAACGCGAAAGGGACUCGGUCCUGAGUAAAGUGGCGCACGGGUGAGUAACACGUGGAUAAUCUGCCCUUAUGAUCGGGAUAACAGUCGGAAACGGCUGCUAAUACCGGAUACGCUCAAGAUGAACUUUUUGAGGAAAGGUGACCUCUGCUUGCAUGUUACCGUAUAAGGAUGAGUCCGCGUCCCAUUAGCUUGUUGGUGGGGUAAAGGCCUACCAAGGCAACGAUGGGUAGCCGAUUUGAGAGGAUGAUCGGCCACACUGGGACUGAAACACGGCCCAGACUCCUACGGGAGGCAGCAGUGGGGAAUAUUGCGCAAUGGGCGAAAGCCUGACGCAGCGACGCCGCGUGAGGGAUUGAAGGUUUUCGGAUCGUAAACCUCUGUCAGAAGGGAAGAAACCGCACUGUGCUAAUCAGCAGUGUCUUGACGGUACCUUCAAAGGAAGCACCGGCUAACUCCGUGCCAGCCGCCGC
rnacentral:rRNA from 1 species